AUUUUCAUAUACAUACAGGUGUGGCAGAGAGUUUAAGAAGUAUGCUUCUCAACCAUGAAGUCUCGUGUACGGUCAUUAAUGCGUGGCUUCAUUGGAUGCACUGUAGUUUAAAUUCGGAGUUCGUUUUGUUACAUAUAUUAACCUUGAGUCUACUUGACAUCCGUGAUAAGUGUGCCGAUGUUUGUGGACUGUUUAACUACUUCGCACAAUAAUUCAAUGAUAAAGUCUUCUAGCUCAUAGAACAAGAGGAUGCUCAUCAACAAGAAAGUCUAUUAUUGCAGAUAUGAUUAUAAAAACAAGUGAUACAUGUCUGGAACUUGCAAUCACCUUGCAGAGAUGCGUUACAAGCAACAGGCUGGACACGACAACAGCGACACCGGAGGACAGAAGAAAUACCGGUAUUGUAAAAGUAAGCCUGAUGUUUCAAAUCCAACUGCCAGUGACUAUAGUAGCAACCACGAUAGUAAGUAUAUUACUACGAGGUGGGAAGAAUUGUAAGUAAUUGUAAUUUAUUCUUAAUGAAAUACUUCAAGAGAAGAUUUUUGUUUUGACACACCAGUUACAAGGUAAGCUUUACUUGGUCAGCAUUGAUAAGAGACGC